AUACAGGGGGUGCGAGCGUUAAUCGGAAUUACUGGGCGUAAAGAGUACGUAGGCGGUUGCUUAAGUCAGAUGUGAAAGCCCCGGGCUCAACCUGGGAACUGCAUUUGAAACUGAGUGACUAGAGUUUAAGAGAGGGGAGUAGGAUUCCGGGUGUAGCGGUGAAAUGCGUAGAGAUCAGGAGGAAUACCAGUGGCGAAGGCGGCUCCCUGGCUUAAAACUGACGCUGAGGUACGAAAGCGUGGGUAGCAAACAGGAUUAGAUACCCUAGUAGUCC
rnacentral:rRNA from 1 species